UACGGGGGGGCAAGCGUUGUUCGGAAUUACUGGGCGUAAAGGGCUCGUAGGCGGCCAACUAAGUCAUACGUGAAAUCCCUCGGCUUAACCGGGGAACUGCGUCUGAUACUGGAUGGCUUGAGUUCGGGAGAGGGAUGCGGAAUUCCAGGUGUAGCGGUGAAAUGCGUAGAUAUCUGGAGGAACACCGGUGGCGAAGGCGGCAUCCUGGACCGAUACUGACGCUGAGGAGCGAAAAGCCAGGGG
rnacentral:rRNA from 1 species